rnacentral:rRNA from 1 species
GAUGAACGCUAGCUACAGGCUUAACACAUGCAAGUCGAGGGGAAACGAUAGAGAAAGCUUGCUUUUUCUAGGCGUCGACCGGCGCACGGGUGAGUAAUGCGUAUCCAACCUGCCCAUCACUUGGGGAUAACCUUUCGAAAGUAAGACUAAUACCCAAUGUCGGCUCUAGAAGACAUCUGAAAGAGAUUAAAGAUUUAUCGGCGAUGGAUGGGGAUGCGUCUGAUUAGCUUGUUGCCGGGGUAACGGCCCACCAAGGCGACGAUCAGUAGGGGUUCUGAGAGGAAGGUCCCCCACAUUGGAACUGAGACACGGUCCAAACUCCUACGGGAGGCAGCAGUGAGGAAUAUUGGUCAAUGGGCGAGAGCCUGAACCAGCCAAGUAGCGUGCAGGAUGACGGCCCUAUGGGUUGUAAACUGCUUUUAUAAGGGAAUAAAGUGGGAGUCGUGACUCUUUUUGCAUGUACCUUAUGAAUAAGGACCGGCUAAUUCCGUGCCAGCCGCCGCAGUAA